AACACCCUGGCUAAAGAGAGAGACCAGCUACAGACCAGUUACAACACCCUGACUGAAGAGAGAGACCAACAAAAGAGGGAGAACAAUGAUCUCAUGGCAAAGUUCUCUAAUCUGAAACAAACUGCUGAAGGUUGGCAGAAGUUUGAAUCCAGUUGGUACUUCAUCUCUACUGAGACUAAAACCUGGAGGGAGAGUAGCCGGGACUGUCUGGAGAGAGGAGCAGACCUGGUCAUCAUAAACAGUGAUAAGGAACAGGAGUUUCUCUUUGGCCUCAAUAAGAGAGCCUGGAUUGGUCUGACUGACUCUGUUACUGAGGGGACCUGGAAAU